GAUGAACGCUGGCGGCGUGCCUAAUACAUGCAAGUCGAGCGAACAGACGAUGAUCUUGCUCCUCUGACGUUAGCGGCGGACGGGUGAGUAACACGUGGAUAACCUCCCUAUAAGACUGGGAUCACUUCGGGAAACCGGAGCUAAUACCGGAUAAUAUAUUGAACCGCAUGGUUCAAUAGUGAAAUACGGUUUUGCUGUCACUUAUCGAUGGAUCCGCGCCGCAUUAGCUAGUUGUUAAGGUAACGGCUUACCAAGGCAACGAUGCGUAGCCGACCUGAGAGGGUGAUCGGCGACACUGGAACUGAGACACGGCCCAGACUCCUACGGGAGGCAGCAGUAGGGAAUCUUCCGCAAUGGGCGAAAGCCUGACGGAGCAACGCCGCGUGAGUGAUGAAGGUCUUCGGAUCGUAAAACUCUGUUAUUAGGGAAGAACAAAUGUGUAAGUAACUAUGCACGUCUUGACGGUACCUAAUAAGAAAGCAACGGCUAACUACGUG
rnacentral:rRNA from 1 species